UUUUCCAGAUAUUUGCGUGCUUGAUCUUUUAGCUCACGAAUCUCUUCAAACCUCUGGCUUAGCUCACUCUGGUUCUGACGAAGAGUGACCUCUAGCUUCUUGGCGCGACUUUGUUCAUCCUUCAACCCUUUCUUGUAAGCUUCCAACUGGUCUUGAAGUUUCUUGAUCUGUUCUUUGUAAUUAAGCUCCACUUUAUAAGCCUAAUAUUGAGCUUUUGCUAGCUAUUUCUUCUUUGCUGACAGGCUAGCAUAAGUCCCUUUUAGUGCUUCACCCACUUUCAUUCUUUUGUGCAAUUCAGCUUGCA
rnacentral:lncRNA from 1 species